rnacentral:rRNA from 1 species
UACGGAGGAGGCAAGCGUUAUCCGGAAUUAUUGGGCGUAAAGAGCUCGUAGGCGGCUUGUCGCGUCGGCUGUGAAAACCCGCGGCUCAACUGUGGGCGGGCAGCUGAUACGGGCAGGCUGGAGUUCGGUAGGGGAGACUGGAAUUCCUGGUGUAGCGGUGAAAUGCGCAGAUAUCAGGAGGAACACCGGUGGCGAAGGCGGGUCUCUGGACAGUUCCUGACGCUGAGGCACGAAGGCCAGGGGAGCAAACGGG